rnacentral:rRNA from 1 species
AUUGAACGCUGGCGGCAUGCUUUACACAUGCAAGUCGAACGAGUGGCGGACGGGUGAGUAAUGUCUGGGAAACUGCCUGGUGGAGGGGGAUAACUACUGGAAACGGUAGCUAAUACCGCAUACUAUCAGAUGUGCCCAGAUGGGAUUAGCUAGUUGGUGGGGUAACGGCUCACCAAGGCGACGAUCCGUAGCUGGUCUGAGAGGAUGAUCAGUCACAAUGGAACUGAGACACGGGCCAGACUCCUACGGGAGGCAGCAGUGGGGAAGAUUGGACAAUGGGCGAAAGCCUGAUCCAGCCAUGCCGCGUGUGUGAAGAAGGUCUUCGGAUUGUAAAGCACUUUAAGUUGGGAGGCGUUACCAACAGAAUAAGCACCGGCUAACUUCGUGCCAGCAGCCGCGGUAAUUC